UUAAUUUACUGAAAAUUUUUGAAAAAAAAAAUUAAGUUAGGCAUUUCGAAUUCGAAUAUUCGAGUCGAAUCGAAUAUAUUAGAAUAAACUGGUC